AACGCAACUUGCACUUUCUGGGUCUACUAGAAAGUAUAUAUAUUUGAGUAUCAGAAUAAUCUAUCCAACAGCUAGUUGGGAACUGACUCGACUAUUUACUAUAGUGAGUCUAAAUGGAUUGCAAUCAAAAUGUGGUAAAAGACGGAUGUUCUUUCCCAUUGACGAUUUUCUUGACUUAUGAUCUCAAAUUAUAUAAGAAUACCCGCUGAACUUAA
rnacentral:misc_RNA from 1 species